rnacentral:rRNA from 1 species
GAUGAACGCUAGCGGCAGGCUUAAUACAUGCAAGUCGAGGGGCAGCAUAAUUGUAGCAAUACAGUUGAUGGCGACCGGCAAACGGGUGCGGAACACGUACAGAACCUUCCUUCGAGCGGGGAAUAGCCCAGAGAAAUUUGGAUUAAUACCCCAUAGUAUUACGGAGUGGCAUCACUUUGUAAUUAAAGAUUUAUCACUUGAAGAUGGCUGUGCGGCUGAUUAGGUAGUUGGCGGGGUAAGGGCCCACCAAGCCUGCGAUCAGUAACUGGUGUGAGAGCACGACCAGUCACACGGGCACUGAGACACGGGCCCGACUCCUACGGGAGGCAGCAGUAAGGAAUAUUGGUCAAUGGACGAAAGUCUGAACCAGCCAUGCCGCGUGAAGGAUGAAGGUCCUCUGGAUUGUAAACUUCUUUUAUAUGGGACGAAAAAAGGCUUUUCUAAGUCGUCUGACGGUACCAUAUGAAUAAGCACCGGCUAACUCCGUGCCAGCAGCCGCUGUAACAC